rnacentral:misc_RNA from 1 species
GGACUACUGGGGUAUCUAAUCCUGUUUGCUCCCCACGCUUUCGUGCAUGAGCGUCAGUAUUGGCCCAGGGGGCUGCCUUCGCCAUCGGUAUUCCUCCACAUCUCUACGCAUUUCACUGCUACACGUGGAAUUCUACCCCCCUCUGCCAUACUCUAGCCUGCCAGUCACCAAUGCAGUUCCCAGGUUGAGCCCGGGGAUUUCACAUCGGUCUUAGCAAACCGCCUGCGCACGCUUUACGCCCAGUAAUUCCGAUUAACGCUUGCACCCUACGUAUUACCGCGGCGGCUGGCAC